rnacentral:tRNA from 1 species
GGGCUUGUGGUACAGUGGUAGCACGUUCGCUUAGCAUGCGAAAGGUCCUGGGUUCAAUUCCCAGCAAGUCCA